GGAGGGGGAGGACCUGCGUGGGUCUCCAUGCAGCCUCCGGAGCGCAGGGCGGGGCGACGCCGCAGCAGCAGCAGCUUCAUCGCCGCUGACAGACACCGACCUCCUGCUCGUCUCCAGGCCGCGGCAUGGACGCCGGAGCCCGGCCUGUUCCCUUUGAAAUCACAGCGGGUCCGGUUUGAGCGGUACUGAAGAUGAUGAUAAUAGCGAAGAUGAAGAUGAUGGUGACGGUGUGCGGCUAGAGCAGCGGAGCGGAAACAAACCGCAAACUGAAUCCGUGCGGGAGCACCGCGCUCCGAUGCUGCAGAAAAAUCGCCAUUGUUUGGAUGCGCAGCAGACUGAGAGGAAAAACCCAGACUUUACGGAGAGUGUUUGACCGACAGACACCAUGCUUUCACCGCUGCUUCUAACGGUGUCUCUGCACUGGUUUACCCAGAUCUCGGCGUUCCAGGCGUCCGUAAACGAUGGCGGUUUGAUGGCGGUGACGCUGGAGCGCUCGGACCUGCAGGAGAACGCCACGGCGUACGCUGCUCAGAUCUCCGGAGAACCUCGACCGCUCCUGCUUCAGUUCGUGAACACCAGCCAGCCUCUGCUGUUCAACGCGUCGUUUCACGGCCUCUGCUACACUGUGGGACUACUGGUGAAACUGGGACAGACCUGGUCCAGGCCAGUCAAGACCGUGUCUGUGCUCACAAAGCCUCUUCCUGUCCUCAGAGCUCGCAUAUCGGACUACAAGGAGUCUCCAGAGACCGGCGUGGUGUUUGACAUCGAGCCUCCGGCCGGGAACGUCUUCAGCAGAGUCAACAUCAGCUACACCGAAGGACAAGAACGGCGCUCCAUGCUUUAUAAAGAUUUCUACAAGGGGAAGACGGUGUUCAAGCACUGGUUACCGGGGGUGUGUUACCGUAACAUCACCUUCCAGCUGAUCUCCGAGGCCACAGUGUACCAGACGGCCCUGGUGACACACAGUGACGUCACACACACACCUCUACAUCACAGGACAGUGCCCUACCCCCCCCUCAACAUUUCCCGUAAGAUCGUCCACCUGAGCCAGAGGGCGGUGCCGGGUGAAGCCUCUGACGUCGUGCCUCCCGAGGGGGGCGAGGAGAGCCGGCGAGCCUCCCGGCGAGCCCGGGACGUCCCUCUGAUGGAGGAGGAGGAGGAGGAGGAGAACACGUCUGAGGAGGGAGCUGCCACUCAGGUUCCCUUCAACCCAACGCACAACCUGACAGGCGCCGACGCCGUGAGAACCAAUCGGACGCCGGAGGCUGAGACUCGGAGCUACUGGCUGGACCCGACCGACCCGUCUCCUGCCGACGGGGAGGACGAUUUCGUCAACGCCGUGGUGUCGGAGUACGAGGACUCCAACGAGCCGGGUUCAGCCAUGAGCCUCCCCUCCGAAGCCUCCGUCCUGCCCACUCAGCUGCCCCCCAUCCUGCUGGAGCUGCGCUGGCUGCCGCCCAGACCCCCCACCAGCUACGACGGCUUCAACAUCUACAUCUACAGAGACGGUAACUCUACAGAAACGGCCACCGUGGAUGAAAACACUCACGAGUUCUUCACCGAGUUAACGGAGCCGGGGACGUACCGAGUCCAGGUCGCCACGCUCAGCUCGUCUGGAGACUGCGAGGCCCGAGAGAGCAGCGCCGACACCGGCUUCACCUUCUACCUCAGUCCUGGCGGCGAGCUGUUGGAGGAUCUCAGGGAGCGUCCUCAGGCCGUCAGCGUCAGACUGCUGGACUCCAGCACCGCCGCCGUCUCCUGGGCUCAGUCCUCCGAGAACCACAACGGCAGCCUGGUGUCGGUGGUCUCCACGACCUGCCUCAGGCCGAGCCUCAGCCAGAGGAUGGAGAGCACGUACUGCAGCGAGGAAAACUCCACGAGUGACAUCAUCACUAACCUGACCCCCGGGGCUCAGUACAGGGUCGUGGUCUACCACACUAACGGACCCCUGAUCAGUCCUCCGUCCGAACCCGUCAUCAUCGAUAUCGGUGAGCAACGCAUCAGCUGGUUCGUGCAGAGCCGGCGGAUUACAGAGAGCAGUGUGAUGGCGGCCCGGGAUGCACGUAAGCCCACAGGUGUGCGUGAGCUGGCUGUUUACCCUCUGAGUCCGACAGCAGUGAUCCUGAGCUGGCAGCGUCCGUAUCACGUCUCCUUCAGGAAGUACGUCCUGCAGACCUUCUUCUUCAACCCCGUCACCCUGGCCUCAGAGUGGACCACCUACUACGAGAUCGCCACCACCGCCUCCAUCAUCGCCUCAGUGAGAGUCACGGAUUUGCUGCCGGCUUGGUAUUAUAAUUUCCGUGUUUCCAUGGUAACGUGGGGCGACCCGCCGCUCAGCUGCUGCGACAGCUCCACGGUCAGCUUUGUAACAGCUCCUGAGGCUCCUCACAUCUCCUCGGUGGAUUACUCUCACGGUGUCCUGUACGUUCGCUGGACGUACGGCGAGCUCUUCAUCGACCUAUCGCACUCCAGGAUGCUGCACUGGCAGGUGGUGGCUGUCGGCAAGAAAGGACCAGAGAGGAGCUACUCCAUCGACGUGACUCGUAACGCGAUGCGGGCCAGCCUCCCUCUGCCUCCAGGAGACAUCUACAACCUGACGGUGACGGCCUGCACUGAACGCAGCAGGAACACCUCCGUGCCAAACAUCAUCAAACUGGAGCCGGCUCCUCCCAGGUCUCUGUUCGCUGUGAACGCCACUCACUCGUCCGUCACGCUGCUGUGGACCGAGGAGGGAGUGGUGGACUACUACCAGGUCCUCUGUAAACCCAGCAGACCCAGCAAGGAGCUCAAGGCCCGGGAGCCUCAGACGGCCAGCUCUCACGUGGUGACGGUGUCUGGUUUGACGCCCUCGUCCACCUACAACUGCACCGUCACCAGCUUCAGCUACAGCACGCCCAGCAAGCCCGCACACAUCACCAUCAGCACCGUCGCUAAAGAGAUGAACCCGAGCGUGGCAGCGAUCUCGGCUCUGGCCGUCCUCAGCAUCCUGCUCAUCAGCCUGCUGGUUCUGUUUCUGCUCGUCCUCCGCAAGAAGCACCUGCAGAUGACCAGAGAAUGCGGCGCAGAGACUUUCGUCAAUUUCGCUUCAUUUGAAAGAGACGGAAAGCUUCCUUAUAACUGGCGAAGAAGCCUCUUUGCCUUCCUUACCCUACUGCCAUCCUGCCUUUGGACUGACUAUCUUUUGGCUUUUUAUAUUAAUCCUUGGAGCAAGACAGCUUUAAAGAAACGGAAGCUAACAAGUCCCGUGCAGCUGGACGACUUUGACGCCUACUUCAAAGACAUGAGCAAAGACUCGGCCUACAAGUUCUCGCUGCAGUUUGAGGAGCUGAAGAGCGUCGGUCUGGAUCUUUCCCACGAUGCAGCAGACCUGCCCGUCAACAGGCCGAAGAACAGAUACACCAACAUCCUCCCCUACGACUUCAGUCGGGUGAAGCUGAUCUCGAUGCACAACGACGAAGGUUCAGACUACAUCAACGCCAACUACAUCCCUGGAUACAAACACGCUCAAGAGUACAUCGCCACUCAGGGUCCGCUGCCUGAAACUCGGAAUGAUUUCUGGAAGAUGGUUCUGCAGCAGAAAUCUCCGAUCGUCGUCAUGCUGACUCAGUGCAACGAGCGACGGAGGGUGAAGUGUGAUCACUACUGGCCGUUCACAGAAGAACCUGUGAUGUACGGAGAGAUCAGUGUGGAGAUGCUCUCUGAGACCGAGUCUCCAGAGUGGACCAUCAGGAAGUUCAGACUGGGAUAUGCCGAUGAGACUCAGGACGUCCUCCACCUGAACUACACCUCGUGGCCGGAUCACGGCGUCCCCACGGUCAACGCCAUCGAAAGCAUCCUGCAGUUCGUCCACAUUGUCCGUCAGCAGGCCAACAGGACCAAAGACCCGGUCAUAGUGCACUGCAGUGCUGGAGUCGGCAGGACGGGGACCUUCAUCGCUCUGGAUCGUCUGAUGCAGCACAUCAGAGAGCACGAGUUCGCAGACAUCCUGGGGAUGGUGUCUGAGAUGCGUUCACACCGGCUGUCGAUGGUCCAGACUGAGGUGAAAACAUUCAGGGCGUUUCCAAACCUGGAGUUUGUUUGCUCUGGUCUGAAUCAGAGGAAGACUUGGUUCAGUUCCUUAAAUGAAGUGAACCAAAAUGCAUCAGUAAAAGCCGGGAGAGAGAGAGAAAGUGUCUUUCUGCUAGCUGUUAGCAACUGUUAAGCUCAAACUUAGAGUUCGCCUUGUAGUCGGGUCAGAUCACAACUGAACCAGAGUCUGAUCCAGCCCGACUAAACAACGCAGGUUUGAACCCGAAACCGUUUCUCACGUGUCGUCUGUGAUUGGUCAAAUAGUGAGUUCAGCCCACAGAUAUCAGUGUUUCUUCUCUGUAGGAGCAGUAUGUGUUCAUCCAUCAGUGCGUCCUGUUGAUGUGGCAGAAGAAGAAGCAGCAGUCCAUCACCUCCGAUGUCAUCUACGAGAAUGCCAGCAAGACAUAAAGAUGGCGGCUCCUCCAGACGCUGCGAACACACCCAACCUCCUGUGCUUCAGGCAUCCAUUCUCUGCAGAAGAAGAUCCGCUUCAUCAUCAGUAUCAAAAACAAAACAGCAGAACAUCUCGACGACACAAGAGGAAGAAUCCAGUUUUUUGUUUGAAUUGGUGUUAAAGCAUGGGAUGGAGUUUUGCCUUAAGGAGCCUUCACUGACUGACCAACAUGUUGAACCACAACCCUGCCCUCUGAACUGGACUGAUAUCACGUCAACGUGGGGUCGGAGGAGCGUUAACGAGCUCCGUCCUCGUUCUGACGACGCGAGGCGGCGAGUCGGUGGAGCCGAGUCAGCAGUUUUUCCAUUUUAUUUGUUUUUUUAAUCUCAGGAGUAGCUGAAAAACCAGCAAGCACACUGGCCUCUUCCUCCGCUUCAAAAGUAAUUUAUCAUCCGUUAGUUUUAGUUUUUUGCAUCGUUACAAGUGUUCGCCUUCCCGCAGUGUGCAGCUUUCCUGGCUUUUUGCGACACCGGAGUCGUAGGCGGUAGAUUGCGACGUCACACUGCCAAACAUGGGACUACAACAUGUCGAUUAUUAAAAACGCCGACUGCUCUAACGUGCAAACUAACUGCCAGGACUGCUGCACAGAUAAUAUUCACGAAAGAACCCAGCAAGCAUUCGACGGACUUCUGGAGACUGAGCACAAAAUUUAACGUUUCGGGAUGUUGAAGCUGAUAACUGAUCAGUGAGGUGCUGUUUUUUAAUUGAACGCUAAAAACAAACCGGCAUCGUGGUUGGACGUAAUGUUUCGGUCCCGGUUGAAGACGCCACCGUCGUAAAACUUCGGUAAAAAUGUGUAUUAGCUUUUGCUGCAGUUUGAACGAACUUAACGUUCCAGAUUUCAGCUUCACAAACUGUUUUAUCGGGAAAGUCUUUUGGUAUCGACUUCGUCCGUGAAGUUAAACGUCUGAAUGUUUGCUGGGUCUGCACGAGAACUGAGGGGAACGAACGCCUUUCUGUGGAAACACGAGUGCCUCACGCUGCCGGGUCAGUUUAGACGCUAGAGCCUGUGGUUGUAGAGCUGUAGUUUGUAUUUGCACUGAGGCCUCGGAGCUGCCUGACCUGCUGACAGAAGAAGAGUUUCUGCUGCUUCUGACUGUGGAGGACUGACUGUACAGCCGUGUCGAUCGGUAUUCGUCCCGUCCCGCGAGCUCUUUCUAACGAAGGAUCUCGCUCUGAAGACGUAGCUUAACUUUAGACUAGCGGAGAGGUUUGUCAUCUCAUCGGCUGCAACAACCAGCAGAGAAAUGGAUCGUAUCUGAAGACAGAGGAGAGACUAUUACUCAGACCGUUGAACUGCCAAAACCACCAAGACAUUAUAUCAAGACCUGAUAAGAGUUUCCUUCAAGUUGCUGAAAAAUGACAACAACAUAUCUCCAGCGCCGGCCCCAGCCACACCAACUUAAAGCUGCACCUAGAAAACAAUAAGAAAAUGAUAAGUUUCGGGUUUUAAAACCCCAAAUUUGAUAUUUCUCACUUACAUUUUCUACCUUAAUCCCAACAUUUGGUGUAAUUACCACAUAAACCAAAAUACAUGUCUCCUGUAUUGGAAAAAUGUUGGCAUUGCACGCUUAUGAUUCUUGUUUUAAACCCUAAAUUGUGUUUACUCCCAAAAAAUGGUUACAGUCCCAGUAUUCGGGAAACGUAAGCUUUUGGUUUUGCCCAAACACCAACAUUUUGUAACGUGCUGCCUAAAUUUGUUAAUGAUUGGGGUUAGUUUGGGGGCAGAACCAUAAAAAUGCUAGGAGGACAUUUUGGAAUUUGAGUGUUAACGUUAAAAACUUAGUUUGGUUGUUUUGGGGCCUGAAGCUUUGAUGGUGGCUCAGGCCGGCUGCAUAUCUCUGUCUUAAACACACGACUGCUGUACAGAAAAUAGUUACGAAGCCAUUUUCUGAAGCGUCUGUUAGUUAUCAGAUCAACUUAUUUACAGUAAUUUAGUUAGUUAAUUUUCCAUCUUUCUACUGAACAUUUGACUUGAAGGGCAACAGAAAACAUUUCUCACCGCGUUGACGACUGUAGAGAAGAUUUACUGAACAGACGAGAGCGGCCGACCUCUUUCAGAGUUUUACACUCCAUUCAGGAAGUGCAGGGUGUCGUCAAAAUAAGAGCCAAGAGUUGAGCGGCUUUCCUUUGUGGUGCGCACGCAUUUAAAUUUACUGCCAACAAUCCUCUUCCAAGUAAAGUCACAACACUCGGCCUGUUUUACGUCAGCAUUGUUGUAGAAACGUUUUUGUGCAUCGUGUUAAUACUCGAAGUAUAAAUACAGAUUAUCAGUGUUUUUUUUUUUAAUAAGCUAAGUUUAGUUUUAAUUAACUAAAUACUUUAAUCUGGUCUUAAACAGAAUCAAACAUAUAUAAAAAAAAGUUUGAUCAGAACAAAUUUUAAAUCCCUAAGAAUCCAAACAAGUGGAAUUACAGAGUUUCCCCUCGGGGAUCAAUAAAGUAUUUCUGAUUCUUUCUGAAAUAAUUAAAGAAAAACCUAUUUUUGACUGUUUGAAAAAAUGUUUUUUGAGUAAAUCAAUGACACUAAAGUGUCGACUUGUAAAGUGAUUCGUCCAAAUCAGGCAUCAACUUUCUGUAACGAACUAGUGCGUUACGUUAAAACCGGAACAGUUGGUACCUGCACCACAAAUAGCCAAUUUUGGCAUAAUUCCCAAAUUUUAGUAAAAUUUGCUUCACUCACAAAAGUUAAUGUAGCUCCUGAAAUUUGUUCUCCUGGAAAAAAAUUUGGUAAUGAGCCCCAAAUACUAAAUUAUAAAUUAAUUCAUUGUUUUGACCACUUUGUAACUAAGUUGUUAAAAAAAAAAAAAGUCAAAUCAAUGACUGUGUGUAGAAAAGCCAGCUGUUAUAAAUCUGUUAUAAACCCAAAAUAUCGUAAGUUCCCCGAAGAUUUGUCCAAACAUUUGGUAUAGCAAUCCCAAAUAUUUCAUUCAAUGAAAAGCCAUUUGACACGUCAGUGUUGAUUUGUAAAAUAAUUUGUCGUUGUGGCCCUUUGGUUUAAACUUGGGACCCCAAAUCCUCCCUAAAGCUCUGAUUUAAAAAAUGAUCGAUAAGGAAAAGCUGCUUCUGACUGCUGUUUGUUGUUUUGACCUCACCUUGCGUCCAAUUCGUCAAAGAAAUGAAUGAAUGUGCGUAAAGAGGCCGCUGGACACUUCAGUGUUGACUUGUAAAAUGAUUCGUCAUUGUGGCCUUGUGGUUCAAACACCUGAAGUCUUUACCUGCUCGUUGGUCCGGUCCUUUGGUCGCCACUCGAUCUGAAAUAGUUACAUUUCACUGUUAGAUAUCAAAUGUACUGUACAUACUACUACUGCUUAACUAUUCUGUUUCUACUCGUCAUUACAAAAGUAAUUCUUGUGGAAAUGUUGCUUUAGAGGUUUGUUUUUUAAAAAGUUGUUGUAUAUGUAAAUCAUCAUUACCUGAGCCAGAAGCUAAGUUCUCUCAUCAGUACGACGGUUCGGUUUUUGGGGCUUUGGCGUCGACGUUCGGAGACUCGGCUGUUUGGGAAAACGUCACGUGGACUCGGAGAAACGCACUUCGGCACGACUGUCGAAAAGAUUUACUAAAUAAAAACUGACAGACGAUGUCCGAAAGCUCAGCACUGUACACUCUUCUACAAUUCUUUCUCUUGCUUAGUGUGUGUCCAGUCAAACUCGUUCGUCUUUGGUGCCAUUCUUGUGCAUUGUGUCACUUAAAAUUUGAGGGAUGAUCUCGAACUCGGAUCAUCGUCACAGAGUUUUAAUGUGUGUGCGUGUUGGAACAAAAUAAAAUGUUGCAGUUA